UACGUAGGGUGCAAGCGUUAAUCGGAAUUACUGGGCGUAAAGCGUGCGCAGGCGGUGAUGUAAGACAGAUGUGAAAUCCCCGGGCUCAACCUGGGAACUGCAUUUGUGACUGCAUCGCUGGAGUACGGCAGAGGGGGAUGGAAUUCCGCGUGUAGCAGUGAAAUGCGUAGAUAUCAGGAGGAACACCGAUGGCGAAGGCAGGUCUCUGGGCUGACACUGACGCUCAUGCACGAAAGCGUGGGGAGCAAACAGG
rnacentral:rRNA from 1 species